UCACACAUGUUCUUCCCACCAUUGAUAAAAAGAAAAGAUUGAGAGAGAAAAAGAGAGAGAGAGAGAGAGAAAGAACAUAAACAUAAACAUAAAGAAAAAACAAAGAUCUAAUUGAAAAAACUAGAUAUGAUGCAUGAAACAAAAUUGAAAGGAAAAGAACAUUAAAGAAGAACUAAGAAAUGUUUGAGCAGAAAAGAAGAAGAUAAUCAGAAAGCAAAAGUUUUGGACUUUGGAGAAUCAGCAACUUUGAGAGUUUGUUCAAUAAGUUUUCUGGCUUUUCUGCUUCUAAUCUCCAUUCUCAUGCUUUCACUCUUCUCCACUUUAUCAUACUCACUCUUCUUCACAAUCUUCAAACUCCUCAUCUUUGAUUUCAAUGUCACCAUCAACCUUCCCAAUCCCAUUGUUUUCUUUCUUCUUUCCUUCAACUUUCUUCACACUCUGUUCAUCAUCAUCAAUCAAUCACAGAUAAAUAAACUCAUAAGAACAACAAGAAGAACAAGAACAAGAAGAAGAAAGAGACAUGUGAGAGAGAAGAGGAACAUAGAAACAAACCUUUUCAAGAACUCAUUGUGAAAACUUUUGACCUUUCUUAUGUUAUAUACACUGCACAAAAAACCCUCUUUCUCUCUCCUUUUCUUUUUAUAUAUAUUUUUUGUGAAUGGAAAUCAAUGAAUAACAAGAGCAUUCAAUGAAUUCUGUGUAUAUUCUGUGUCCAUUUCAGAAUUCUUAUUCGUAGUUGUUUGAAAAUUUACAUCUGUAAAUAACAAAGGAUAAGAUCAAAUUCAUUGUACAUUGAAAACUAAAAAACUUAAUAAUAAUAAUAAUAAUAAUAAUAAUAUAUCAAUACUUAAAAUGAGGUAAGUUUAGUUCAAUCUAGAAUUUAGUGGGAGCAGUUUUGAAAUUGUAUAAUGGUUAAAUAAUUUUUUGAUUUUUUUUUGAGUUGGUCUAUAUUAAAAUUGAUAUUUUAAGAAAACUGUUAUGGAUAAUACUUAAUAUUUUAAUGAAAAAAUAUAAUUAAUGACUUUAUUAUUAUUAAGUUAUAGUGGUGAGAGUAGUGGAAUGAUUAUCAAGACAAAAAAAUUAAUAAAUUUACAGAUAUAUAAAUAAUUUUGAAGAGAUUUUGAAAACUUAUGUAAUCAGAUUUUGAAUUAUGUUGUCGUUUGAAGUAUUGUUUGUUUUAAAAGUAAAAAUUUUUUCAUUAUUUUUAUUUUUAAAAGUAGUUUUUAGAAAAUAGAAGAAAAAAAAAAAAUUAUACUUGAUUUCAAAUUUUAAAGGAUGUGAACUAUUAAAUAUUUAUAGCUUCUAUAUUUUUGAAGCUAAACGAUUUUGAUUCAUUACUUAUGCAUGUCUUCCAACUGCUAAUAAAAGAUGUUACAUGUUUAUAAGUUAUAAUAAUGUCAAUUAUUUAUUUGCGUAAGAUGUUAAUUACACAAUUUAAUUAAUAUAUAUGUUAUAACAACAUAUGCAUUAAUACUUAUAUGUUAACCAUUAAAUAAAAUAGUUAUGAGCAAUAAAAGUUAUUUAAUUUUAGAAAAAAAAAAAUCAAAUGUACACUGUGGCCAAACUUUAAAAUUCGAAAAACUAUUGACACAACAUAGUAAAUUUAUGGUUUUAAUAUUCUUUAAUAAAAUAUAAAUAAUAGAUCUUAUAAUAUAACAAGAAAAAUAUAAUAUUUUGGCAGUAAUUUCUUUUAAAAUGUUUCUAUUUUUUCAAAAAAUUGUAAAACUAGAAUAAGGUUAAAUAUUGUCCUCAAUUUUUUAAAAGUUAUGUUUCGUCUUAAACUUAUUUAUUUCAUUCUGUACUUUAUAAAAAUCAUGUUUUCAGUAAAUUAUUUUUCAUGUAAAAAACAAAGUUUGACGAUUAAUUAUAUAAUAUAACAUUCAUUGACAAAGUUAUAUAAAUUUUUUUUUUUUAUGUAAAACAAAGAAAAGUUUCACUAUUAAUUCUAUAAUAUAUAAUUUACUGUAUAAAGCAAAAUUUUUCUAUGUAACAAGCAAAAAUUUUACGAUUAAUUAUAUAAUAUAAGAUUCACAUAUUAUUUAUUAAAAUGAUGUUUUUCGUAAAAUACAGAAGUAAAAUAACUAUAUAUUUUAUCUCAAAAAGUAACAUAUUUUUUCAAAAUACUUUAAAAUCCGAAUAACGUCUUUAACACUUUAGAAUAUUAUAAGCUUAUGAUAAUAGAAUGAGAUAAUAUUAAUUAAUUUCUUUAAUAUGUCUAAAAAUGUUAUUAAUUAUAUUUUUAAAUUGGGUUUUUGAAAAAUUUUGACUUUUCAUUUUGUAUUUUGAAAAGUUAAAAUAAAGUUGGUUAUAUUGUUAAAUAUUUUUGUCUCAGUUUAAAAAAAGAUUAAAAAAGAAGGUACUAAUAAUUAACUACCUCAGUGAAGAAAGAAGAAAACGUAUUUUCUAACUCCAUAUAUUUUGUUUUUAUACUUAAUAUUUUUGAAAUAAUAAUUUUAGAUUUUGUGAUUUAUAUAUAUAUAUAUAUAUCUUACCAGUUUUGUGCUUCUUUUUAAUGCAGCAUUGACUCUGCUGGCAUGAUUGUGAACAUAUGGCACUGUUGGACUUAACUGCCACCAUUUCAACAUGCAUUGGACAAUGGCUAGAGAAAAUAAUCUCUGGAUUUCAACUUCAUAUUAAAAAAGAUAAGUUAAUUUUAUAUUAUUUAUUUACACAUUAAUAUUUUAAUUUAUCAUUAUUGUUUCUUACACUAAAUUAAUAAUUUGUUUUAUUUUUCUUGAAAGAGUUUCGGAGAAGUUCAUUUAAGGAAGCUUAUAAAUAUGAUAAGGAUAUGUUCGGAUAAACUUUUUAACAAGGCUAUUUCUUUUUUUUAUAAAUAGUUUAUGAAGAUUAUAAAAAAUAAAUUAGCUCUUUUACAAGUUAAAAUUAAUUUAUGUAUUAGUUAAUUUGGAGAAUUAUCCUAUAUAGUUUCUCUAAACCCUAAACGAAGAAAUCAUAACAUUAGUAAGUACUCCAUAAAUUAAUGUCAAAGAAAUAUUUUUAAUUCAAAUAAUUAAUUUAAAAGUUCAAAUAUAUAAUUAAUAUUAACCUUUUAGGUGUGACCCAUUUUAGGAAGAACAAUAUAACAUUUGAUGUGUAUUUUUGGGUGAACUUCUGCAAAAACUAAUUUUAGAUACAUUAAUUCUGAUGAGAAUAUAUUGUACACUGCCAUGAUGUGUCUUUGAAAGUUUUUAUCUUAAAAAGAAAAUUUAUAGAAAACAUGAUAUUACUUUUAAAUCCAGUAUACAAACUAUUUAAAUGAAUUAAUUCAAAUUUUGUAAAUUGAAAUUAAUUUCGCAUUUUUUUCCUAAUAUAGAGCCAUUCUUAUAAACCAAUCAUGUACGAAUUUCUAUAUGAGACUAACUUGACUAAGCUAAAAUGUGUGGGCCUAACAAGCCCAUUUAUUCCAUGAACGACGGCUACUUCAUGCAGUUCUCUACUUUUCUUCCUAUAUCCUACAAAUUAUAAUAUUUCCAUUUUAUCCUUUAUUAAAAAAUAAUUAAAUACUUUUUUAGUCACUGAAAUUUGAGACAAAACUACCUUUCAUUAAUAUUUUUGAAACUUUGAUAUAUUUUCGUUUUUUAAUUUUUAAAAAUAAAUAAAUAUAAUUUUUUAAUCAAUUAUAUUAUAUUAAACACAUUAUUCAAUUGAUAUUAAGACAAAAACGUAUCAAACUAUAAAAAAUUUAAAUACUAAAAAAAAUUUAUUUUAACACUCUCACACAUUAAAACAACACAUUAUAUUAAUUUAUUUUUAAAGUUUUAAGAACCAUUUUUAAUUUUACAUCAAAAUUCAACCAUCCAAUACAUAUUUCUAUCUUAUAAAUCUCUUCCUCGGGGUCAUUUUCUUCUUUUACACAAAUUCGUUCGAAGAAAAAAUCUCUCUACUCCACAUAACGUCAAAUUUCGAAUUUUUCUUUCUUUUACACAAAUUCGCUCGAAGAAAAAAUCUCUCUACUCUACAUAACGAGAAUUUUUCUUUUACACAAAUUCGUUUGAAGAAAAAAUCUUUCUACUCCAUCAGAGGUAAAAGAUGAAAGAAGAAAUGAAAUUUGAAAAAAAAAAAUUGUUUAGGUUAUUCAAAAAAGAAAAAAAAAAUGCAGGUGUGUCAGAAUGUAAAAAAUGGUCUGAACAAGAUUUUUUGCUGAAGGUAUUUUUCAAAAUUAUUUUUUUAAAGACUCGUUUUAGAAUUUUCUUUUUAUAAUUUGAAUUCAAAUUAAACAGUGAUUCCAAAAUAAACAUAAAAAGUAUAUUUUAAAAUAAAUGUUCAAAAAUAUUUUCAGAAUAAAAAUACUUUUGAAAAUACUUAUCAUUUUCUUUAGUUUUUAAAUAAUUCAAACACUUUCUUUUCCAAAUUUCCUUUCUCGUCCAAUCUUUUUCUUCCCACAUACUACUUAUGAAACUAAGAAGAAGUGCGUGACAGUAGUAAGGAAAGACUGUAAAAUUAAUAUUUUAGAGUUUUUAAUAUUUAUUUUUUAUUAUUAAUCUAACAUAUAAAUUAAAGAGGUAUAAUGUUUCGAGAAAUACAAACUUAAUAAAAACAAGUCAUUCAUAGCCAUUUACAUUGAAACAAAACUAUUAGAAUUAUAAUUAAGUUAGAGUCUGAUUCCUACCUUUAAAAGAAAACCUGACCAUUAUUAUCUCAUUCUUCUUAAAAAUGAAAUGAAAUUGUGAUAUGAUACUUUAUAACAUACGGGUAGAUGCGUCUUUUUAUUACCUAUCAUGGUGUUCUGGAUUCCUUGGCAUACGAAAGUUGUGUUUACUUGAAGAUGGUCUUUUUAUUACUUAUCAUGUGAAAGCGUUCUUCUUUGAUUGACAUACGAAAAUUGUGUUUUAUUUAAACGAUGAAUUUAAAGGAGAUAGAAUAUUUAAAUGUGAAAGAAUUUAAAAGUAAAUUAAAUGUUAUUUUUUUAAGGGAUACAGAGGUGGAUGAGAAUAAAUUUUAAUAAAAUUUAUGAAAAUUAAUAUAAAAUUUAAUUAAUGUAAUAUAUAUAUAUAUAUAUAUAUAUAUAUAUAUAUAAAAGAAAUUUAAAUUGAUAUAAUACUAAAAAUAAUAUAAAAUAACACUUAUUAAUAAUGUAUUUAUUGGUAAAAAAAUAUUAUAAGGAGGAAAAAAUCAAAAUCGUUUUUUAAAUAAAAUAAUUAAAACAAUAUAUUUUUUUAUUAUUAUUAUUAUUGUUGUUGUUAUUAGAAGUCUUUUUUUUUAUACACCAGUACACAAUUGCAUGUUUGGACCCAGUGAACAGAGCUGAACAAUCAGCUUUGAUACAGUACGAGGUGAUGUUCCCUCUACCUUUCCAAGUGGGUCCUGCACCUCCCCAUUAUUUUAAUUUAUUUCAAAAAUAUUUUAUAUCUCUCCACUAUUUUCUUUUAUUCUCUUUCUCUCUCUGCAUUAAUUGAGCGUUUACAUGGCUCAUUAAUAGAGCAUUUACAUGAUUCAAAUUUGAACUUGUGAUAUAUUUUCUUAAAUAAGUUUGAUUCAAUCUUAUUUUCACUGUUUGAAUAUAUUUUUUUUUUCUUUUCAAAUUACUUAAUAAAUGCUAAAAUUUUGUUCUAAAUUUCUAGAAAAAUGUUUAUAUAUAUCUAUGCUUUUUUUUACAUAUAAUAUCUAUAAUUUUUAAUAUUAUAUUAUGUUUUAAUUCACCGACAUGUUUAACUCAGAUAACUUGAAUAAAAUAUUUAAUUUAUUAGAUAAAUAAUAUAAAAAUAUUAUUAAAUACUUAAAAUAUAAAAAAAUAGUUAUUUGUUAAAAAUUUAGAAUUUAUUUAGUUCUUUUGUCAUUAUAAAGUUAGUAUAUAAUAAUAAUAAUAUAUCAUUAUUUACUAUUAAUAUUAUUAUGUUUAUUAUUUUGUAUUUGCAUCUAACUUUUUAUUUUAUAAAAUGGAGAUGGUAGAAGUACUAAUAUUGAAGUUUCUUCUGAAUUUUAUAUUUUGUAGUAUAUCACAGAUAAAAAUAAAUGAAAAUACUAGUGAAAAUGGAGAUGGUAGAAGUGCUCCAUUAAUGCAAAGAGAGAAAGAUAAAAAUUGUUAAGGAUAGUGGGGAGGUGUAGGGUAUUUUUGGAAUAAAAAAAAUAGUGGAGAGGUGUAAAAUAUUUUUUAAAUAAAUGAAAAUAGUGGGGAGGUGUAAGACCUACUUGGGGAGGUGCAAGACCUACUUGGGGAGAUAAAGGGAGCAAUACCCGGCAGUACGCCACACCCCACAUAACCCCUUCCUUCCUUACAUACCAUUCCUCCCUUUAAGUUCCAACAUUAUACUUCUCAUUUUUAUUUAUUCUUCUUUUCCAUACUUCCAUACAAGCUGUGAGCUCCAACCCAACCACCACUUCUUCAUCUUUAAUCUCUCUCCAAACCAUACCCUAGUUCAUAACCAUCCUCACUAAAUCUCUCUCUUUCUCAUUCAAAUAUAACUCCUAACGCCACUCACUCCUCUUCUUUCCUAACCAUAUUUCUUCUUCUCUCUUACGAUUUAGUUUCAUUUUUUUCCCCUUGUUAUCAAAAUCUUUGCUUUGUUACUUUUCCCUUCUCAGCUUCUUCUUCUUAUAUGUUGAGAAUGUGAUUUCGUGAUUCACAACUUUUCUGGUUUCGUGGUUACAGCUUUUCGAGAUACUGACAUUCGAAAUCUUUAUGAUGUAAAUGAUAUCCAACGGAUGUUAAUAUCCAUUCGCUGACAUUCGUUUAAGAAUAUAACAAAUAUUGAAAUUUGUUUCAGUGUAUAAAUUAUAAAGUUAAAAUUUUUAAUCACAAAAAAUUAAAUAUUAUAGAAGGAUAAAAAGGAAUCAAGAGGUGCAGGAAGCACUCUAUGAUGGUGGUAAGAAGGUUCAAUCUAGACAUAGAUUUCCAUAUUGACAAGAUAUUGUUCGUUCUGGAUCAAACCCUUACAAAUUUGUUUUUAGUACCAAUCCAAAAAAUCUCUUACCAACCAAAAUAUUUUAUAAGUAAAGACUAUAACUUUCUACGUAGGUGUGUAAAUAAACCGAUGGAAGAAUUGUUACUUGAAAAAUAAAUUGAGUCAUUACAGAAAACCAUGCCAAUGUUGCAAAGUAUACAACCAUCCUCGUACUUAGUUUUAGGUUAAAGAAAAGAGACAAGGAGAACAUGACAUGAACAAUAGAUAUAAAAAAUAUUUAAAUUGAUAGAAACUAAAAAUUAGGUAAAAAUAUAUAAUAUAAAAUAAUAUUUAUUAAUAAUUUUUGGAAAAAAUAUUAUAUGAAGAAAAAAAUCAAAAUUAUUUUUUAAAUAAAUAAUUGAAACAAUAUAUUUUUUUAGAAUUAUUAUUAUUAUUAAAAAGCAUGAAUAAACUAUACCAUGGAAGAAAAAUUGUACGUGUAUGUACAUGUAUAUGAAUUAUAUAUAUAUAUAUAUAUAACAUGAAAAAAAUCAAAACAAUGUAGAUUGGAAGUAUUGGAAUCAAAUACAAAGAUCUUGGAAUCAGAUACAAGAUGAAAAAUGCAUUACAUUUUCCAAUUUUUUUUUCUUUUCUCCUUUCAAAUUCGUUAAUACGAACAUUUUAUUAUGCAAAUUCAUUUUUCCUAAUUCACUUUAACAAUAUAAUCCUAUGAAUCGAACAUUGUAGCAAUGGUAUUGGUGACCUGCUGCGGUUAAAAUAUAUAAUUCAUAUUAAAAUUAAACUUGUUAUAAUUUGAUGGAUUCGCAGAUAUUGCUUUGCGCAAAACCAAAUGAGUAUAUCCUUUUGGCUGUUGCUCUCUCUAUCUCCCCAAAUGAGACUUGCACCUCCCCACUAUUUUAAUUUAUUUUAAAAAUAUUUUAUAUUUUUCUAUUAUUUUUUUUUAUUCCAAAAAUAUCGUAUACCUUUCCACUAUCUUUAACCAUCUUUCUAUUUCUCUCGCUACAUUAAUGGAGCAUUUAAAUGACUCAUUAAUGGAGGAUUUGCAUGACUCAAAUUCUUAAAUAAGUUUGAUUCAAUCUUAUUUUUGCUGUUGAAUAUAUUUUUUUCUUUUCAAAUUACUUAAUAAAUGAUAAAAUUUUGUUCUAAAUUUCUAGAAAAAUGUUUAUAUACAUGUGUGUCUUUUUUACAUAUAAUAUCUAUAAUUUUUAACAUAAAAUUCAAAGGAAAUUUCAAUAUUAGUACUUCNNNNNNNNNNNNNNNNNNNNNNNNNNNNNNNNNNNNNNNNNNNNNNNNNNNNNNNNNNNNNNNNNNNNNNNNNNNNNNNNNNNNNNNNNNNNNNNNNNNNNNNNNNNNNNNNNNNNNNNNNNNNNNNNNNNNNNNNNNNNNNNNNNNNNNNNNNNNNNNNNNNNNACAUAUAUAUAAACAUAUUUCUAGAAAUUUAGAACAAAAUUUUACCAUUUAUUAAGUAAUUUGAAAAGAAAAAAAUAUAUUCAAGCGCAAAAAUAAGAUUGAAUCAAACUUAUUUAAUUAAGAAAAUAUAUCACAAGUUGAAAUUUGAGUCAUGUAAAUGCUCCAUUAAUGAGUCAUGUAAAUGCCCAUUAAUAUAAUAUAGAGAGAGAAAGAGAAAGAUUGUUAAGGAUAGUGGGGAGGUGUAGGGUAUUUUUGGAAUAAAAGAAAAUUGUGGGGAGGUGUAGAAUAUUUUUGAAAUAAAUUAAAAUAGUGGGGAGGUACAGGUCCCACUUGGAGAGGUGCAGGGAGCAACACCCUAUCCUUUUCAGAGAACUAUUAGUGAAUAUCAGAGGUUGUAGAGGAAUUUUGCAGGGUCUUUUGUCUUAGGUGGUAAGAGAACCAACGUAGUAAGUUUUUUUUUUUUUUUUUUUUUUUCAAAAAAGUUGUCAAGUGAAAAGUCUGAUUUAUAGAAAAGACAUGUGGGGUUUGCAUGGUUUUAGGCCUUAGUUGCUCAUUUCACGGAGGUAAUAUACCCUUUAUGCUUUGGUUCCCACUUAACCGAGACGUAUAAGUUUACAAAAAUACGAAAAUGUCACCGCAUUUUGAUAUGCUUCGAUUUUUUUUCAAAACUGAAGCCUAUUGUGCGUGUUAAAAAGCUUUUUUUACUAGUGAUAUCUUUAAUAACCAAUCAUAUCUCAAAACUAAAAUUCACAUAUCCAAUAACCAAUAACCGAUAACCAAUCACAUAUACAAUUACUAAUAACCAAUAACCAACCAAAAAGCUAACCUUCUUCAAGGGUUGAACAUGGAUAUCAUAGAAAGAGUGGAAGGAAAGAGUUUUCAAGUAAUGGAGAUCGGGCACAAGCAAUGGAGAGAAAAAGCAUUUUGUAUGCCACCACCAACAAGUGGGCAUAAGCAAUGGAGUGGGCACAAGCAAUGGACUAGGCACAAGCAAUGGAGAUUAUCCGUCAACUAGCAUACAAUAAACUACACCAUAAGUCAAUAAAAACAAAAUUUAAUCAGUGCAAAAAUAUAAUAGGUCUAAACAACAUUUAAUCAGUGCAAAAUAAUUUUAAAUGAUGUAAAGUGAAGAAAAUACAUACCUGUAAUGGCUAUGGUGAACGUGAACGGAAGAAGACAAAGCAGCGAGAGAAAACGCGUAAGUGAUGCUCGCGUUCUGGAGUUGGUGGAAAACAGGGUAUUUGACGUUGACCCCCCUCCUUGACUUCUAAUUGCUAUAAGAUGUUGGCCCUCCUUCCAAUCCAAUGUCUACUUCGUAAAAAAAAAAGUAUUAAUGCUUAAAAUGAGGUAUUUUCGUACCUUUUCAACGUCUGUGGGGAAGAGAUCCAAUGUCCAAUUCCUAUUAGAUGCCGAGGGCCCUUUAGUUGACGUCUAAUGUCAAUAGAACAGUGACUUUUCAGUCCUUUUGGUAGACCAUUUGACGUCCGAUUUGAGGAGACUGACGUCUAAUACAUAAUUGAUGUUAGGGACCCUUAUAAACAACAUCUAUAAUGACGUUUUAUUUACAAAACUAUCACCGGUCAUUUUUUACUUUGGUUUUUCAUUCUUUAAACAUUAAAUGUAUGAUGUUAUACAGUACUUUUCACUAGUAUUGUAAACCUACAAAAACUUGACUUCCUCAUUGAUCCUUAUUGCCUUCUUUACCCAUUUUGAUGUCAUUUUCUUAUGUGAUUAAUAAAAUCAGUUUAGUAUUUUCAUCUUCAAAUUUUCCAAUAUGGUGAAUGAUUGCAUUAAACACAUACAAAUUUCUAAGAUUAAAUGAUUUUCAAACAAAAAUUAAAAAAAGUUUACAUAAAAAUACACAUUCCAAGCAAAAUGUGAGCUUUAAAAGCAAAUAUGAUAUUAAUUAGUUUUUAAUCUCAUUAAAGAUAUUAUUUCGAAAAAUUAAUAAUAUCCAAAAUAUGAAUUACAUUUAUCACACAAUUAAGAAAAAAAAAAGUGAAAUGUUACAAUGAUGCUAUAUUUUUAACUAAAAUUAUCAAUUUAUCUAUGAAUGAAUCAUAUUUUUACUUAUAGACGUUACACUUUCCAUUUUCAACAUUUCUAAUAAAAAAUCACUCCAUGUGUCUAUUGGACCAGGCAAACACCAAUGGACACAAUCAUUAUAUAGUGUCAUAUUCUCAUUUGGCCAAUAGCCAUAUCUAUUGGGGUGACCAUCUGGUCUCAAUAACAUUGCUUGUGUGGUGUCAAGUAACAUGAACUUCAACCCUUUCUUUAUUCCUUCUUUCUUGGCAAUUCUGAACUCAUCUAAUUGAAUCUUAUGUAACUCUAAAUCAUAACCCUCUAACUUUGUUUCAUUACUCCUAAAUGGCUUAGUUCUCAUACAAUUUCCACCUUUAUUCCACAAUCCAUUUUCAAAAUGAGAUGGUGAAAAUGUUCUAAGAAAUAUGGUACCCUUGAAGUUUUCUAAACUAAUGAUGGUUUUAAAUGUUGUGUUAUAAACCUUUCUAUAGCCAUAGUACAAGUUUGAGUGAGUGAUAUUGUCUAGGUCACAAUGUUGACAUCCAACAACUCUUUGUUUCUCAUAGAACACAAGGGGUCCCAAAAACCAUUGUCCUCCAUUGAUAAUAACAUAGUCAAACUCUUUAAUGUGGGUUGUCCAUGUUUCAUCAAACUCAUCAAUGUAAACAUUGAAGAGGGCACUAUUUGAAUCCACUUUUUUAGCCCUAACUAGAUGGGGUGUCCAAUAAUUAGCCAUGGUGAAGUUGUAAUUUGAGUACUUCCAUUGCUUGAAGGAAAACUCAUUCGUGUUGGAAACAUCUAUGGGCCACUCCACCUACAAAGGAUGAAGAAGAUAAGAGGAUUACUCUUAAUAUGUUUGGGAAAAAACUCUAUUAAGAACUUAUGAAAGGGAAAAAAUAAUAAAAGAAAAGAUGAAUUUAAGUUAAAAUUAGUUCAUAUACAAGUUGUAAAAAUAAAAAUUCAAAACCAUCACCCAUCUUCUAACAAAUAUGACAUUUGCUUAUUUUAUUUUAUUUUAAACUUGAUAAAUAAUAUUUUAACAUACAAUAAAAAAAUUAAUAUGGUUUAAUAAAAAAAAUAUGAACAAAAUUUAAAAUAAGAAAUGAAAUCGAAAAAUGGAUCUUCAAAUAAAAAUUAUAAGAGUUUUAAAUUAAUUAAAAUUUUAAAUUAUUUUUAUAUAUAAAAUAAAACCGAUGUUAAAGAAACAGUGUCGUACGAAUGUUUUUUCAUAAUUUUAUAUUUACUUAUUACUUCAAUAAAUAUUUCUUUUACCACAAUUAUAAUUUAGUUACCAAAAAUUAUUAGAAAAUUAUAUCUUUACAACUUAAUCCUACUUAACAAUCAAUUAGUGACAAUCUUUUAAUGGUAAGAGACGAACUUUUAACAGCAAAAAUAUUUGGCAAUAAGUUGUAGAAAAAACACAAUUUCUUUUUCUAUUAAAAAAUUACAGUUCAAUUUAAACAUAUUUGGAUGAAAAUAUAUCUCUAUCCUACUCUUUUUUUUUUUUUUUUUUCAAUUUAAAGUUGAUUUAAGUUACUAACUAUGUCAAAGCAUAAAGUAUUCCAACAAUUAGGGAACAUUUCAAUUUUAUAAGCUAAUCUAACAAGUUGUAGUGAAAUUAUAUUUUCUGAGCUCUUAUCUGCAACACUAUCUGUUACUUGGGGACUCUAAAAGUACAUAAACAAAAAUGAACAUAUGUAUGAUUGAAGAGGUUAUUCACAUGAGUAAGUAUAUUUUUCCAUAAAUUAUGUAAAUGGACAAUACAAAAAAUAAAAAAGUAAAGUAAAAUUAUGACAUUAGUUCAAAAUAAUAAUACUAAAAUUGUUAGGACUCUUAAAAGAUGAAUCAAACACACCACAAAGCUUAAGCAGAGUUUUAGAAUCUGAGUCUUGAAAAAGUAGGAGAAACACUAACCCUUGAAAGGAGGCAAAUCAUAGACUGCAUAUGAUUUCUGGCUAAGGAAUCUCCAACAAAAGCCAUAGAUUUUCCCCUCAUAAUUUCCAGGAACUGAAAGGGGUUGAAGAUGGGAAGUUCACACUCAUUUGGCUUCCAUCUCCACUUGAUGAACUCAGAAUCAGGUCUCCCAUGUUUCAUGCAGUUUUGGUGUUCAUGAAUUGCCCAACAUGUUGUGUUUGUGUAGUAUGGUGCUUCAGGAUUUGGCACCCAUUCCCCACUGAAAAUGUCACACUUCUUCACAGAUGUUGAGGGAAACCUUUCUGGCUCCUUCAAAUCACCAAUUGCAACCUUAAAUUUAUUGAUCUUCAACAGUGCUGUGGUCACAGUAAAUAUCAGAAACAUUAUGCAUACUACUUUACUUAUGUUUGAUACUGUUUGUUUUUUGGUUGUGUUCCCACAUUCAAGCUCGAUAUGUAGGAACUUCAUGGAAAAGGAGAAAAAGAAGAGGAAGGGAUAAAGGAAACUCAUAGGGGAAUCAGCUUUUGUAAAUAUAUUCUGUAUAAAACCAUGGUUUGUUUUGUCCAAUAAUUCAUUUUUGUUGCUUCAGAUUCUCUUCUUUUUAAACCUAUCAUUAACCAUAAUAUUUAUCAUCUCAUAAUUUUCUGGUGGACUUGUCACAUGCUUAUAUUCCUUUUCCUUUUCUAUUAAUUUGGAAAAUUCAAUUUACUAAACUAAUACUUUUCUUACUGAAUCAGUUCAUUUUCAAAUAAAAUUUAAUAUAUUUUUUAUUAUUUAGGAGUUAAGGAUAAUUAAUUUACAUGUUUUCUAAAAUGGAUAAUACUUUAACCCUAAUGAUAUUAUAUAAUGUGAAUUUGAACAUUUUGGUAUUAAAAAGAGUAAUAUAUUAACCUCUAAUCUUUAUCAUAUAUAGAUAAAACCACAUCUAAAAACAAAUGUUGGUGAUAUAUUGUUUUCAUAAAUAGUAGUUUCUUUAUGAUAAUUUAUGUACGAAGUGGUUGAUUUGUUUGCUCCAUCAAACUUUAUGUAAGUACAAAAUGAAUGGACCAUCCUAACAUUUUUUGACAGCUAAGAUUGAUAAAUGAUGUUGUAAAACGAGAGGAGAAAAGGGGAAUGGUGCUUUGCUGGAGUUUUCUUGUUGUGAUAAGGUCCUUCAAAUAUGAGGAAUCCCUCUCCAACAAAAGCUGUCAUAUCGUUGUAUUUUGUCCUGUUCAACCUGCAGACACAAGAUAUCUCUUGAGAUAUGUUUUUCAUGCAUGUGAACUUAUGAUAAAGCAUAAUGAUAUUAUAUAUCAGCAAAUAGUGAAUAUUUAUCUCAUGGUUUAACCUCGUUCAUUUAAAUCAAAUCAAAGUCUUUGCUUCAUUAUAUAUAUAUAUAUAUAUAUAUAUAUAUAUAUAUAUAUAUAUAUAUAUAUAUAUAUAUAUAUAUAUAUAUAACAAAAGUAAAAUAAAUAUUAACACAUUUAUUUUUAAUAUAAUAAAACAAUUACAUUAAAAUAAAAGUUUUAAUUCUAUUAAUUUUAUUUGAUUUAGUAUAUAUACAUCAGAGUUUAAAAAAAUCGUGUUUUAGAACUGGCAACGUGGUUUAAAUAAUGAUAUUUAAUUAUUUUAAUGUUAAAAUUCAAAAUAUAAAUAUAAUUACAUAAUCUUUUUAAAUUUCUUUUAUCAUUAAAUUUUCUAAUCAUCUUUUGAAGAAAGUUAUCUUUGAAGCAAGCUCUUCACUGUUAUGUGAUUGGUUCAUCACAUAGAGUAAGUUAAUUUUUUACUUUUUUUCAUAGUCUGUGCAUGUGAGCUUUUCUAGUUUGCAUGUGAAGUCUGAAUAUUUUAUAAGAGUCUAUGUUAAUCAUUGGUCCUAAUUAUGUAUCUUGGUCGUGUUUCUGUUGUUCAUAGGAGCAAAAAUGGUUUUAUGUGUGUUUGGAGUUGUUUUAGGAGUUCUUGAAUGUUUGGUAAGUUUAUCAAAUAAGAGAAGCUAAUUACAUUGCUUUAGAAUUUUAGAUGCUUUAAGAAUGUUAAAUUACAUGUUUGGUCUAUUUGAGGUUGAUGGACGUCUGAUAUUGGUGGUUGAAUUGUCGAGUAAUCUAAAUGUGUUGCAAUGGUUGUGUUUCGUUUGAAAUUGUCUUAAUUGGUGUUGAAUUGAAGAACUUAGGAUCUGAUUAUUUGAGCAAGUUGGUAUGCACUCUGAGAUUGAAAAUUGUUUUUGAACUAAACACUAAGUAAUGAAUACCCAUUUGAUAAUCUGAAUAGGUUCCUUAUUUCCCAAAUCACAGUUUUAAGUAUUCUGUUAUUUUAUAUGGCAUUAAGCGGUAUUGGCAUGACGCUGAGCGCAAAUUUGGUUGUGUAAGUUUGGAAGCACUUUUUGUCCAGACCGCUGAAUGUCCCUUUCCACUGUAGAGCGACCACUUUUGUGAGCAUUUGGUGUUGAGCGGUGGCAAGGCACCACUUAGUGUUGGAAGUCCCACAUCAACUAGAGAUAAGGCCAAUUUAUAAUAUAUAAGUGAGGUGUAAUCCUCACCUUACAAGUUGGUUUUGUGGGGGUUGAGUUAGGCUUAAAAACCCACAUUCUAAUACUUAACGCUACUUUUGACUUUAGGUUUGGAACAAUUUUAAUUCUAGGUGAUUGAGUGAUAGAAUGACGUCGUUGAGCGAGAUGUUUUGUGAGAAUAAUGACGCUAAACAUAAGACUACCGUUGAGCACCAUGAUUGUCGAUGAGUUUCAAGACUG
rnacentral:lncRNA from 1 species